CCAGGGGGAGCUGUCAGGGAGAGGACACCCUCACUGCUGCUCUGCUCACUGACCAUGUUGGAUGGUUCUGCACAAGAUCCUCAAUACACAACCACAAAUCAUUCUCUGAGGAGGCACCCGCAAGCCACCAGACUGUGAGAAUACAUUUCACCGAGAAGGAAUAUUGAAGGCGGCAACAUGCCUAGUGACAUGUCAGAACGUCUUCCAUGAAAAAAAGCGUAUCACCGAACUGCUGAAGAAUGUGCAAGCGGCUGAAAAUGA